GAUCAAUGAUGAAAAUAGCCAAAUCUGAGCAUCAGAAGAUCUUUAGUCUACCUGGUGCAUGAUCUCUAGUUCUGAGA
rnacentral:snoRNA from 12 species